rnacentral:rRNA from 1 species
AUCAGGUAGUAACAGAGGCUCAUCUCUAUUCAGAUUGAACGCUGGCGGGAUGCUUACACAUGCAAUAACGGCAGCACGUGGACUUCGGUCUGGUAUAUAAGAACGGGUGAGUAAUGUAUCGAACGUCAUGAGUGGGGAGAAUUUAUAAAGAAAGGUAGCUAACAGGUCCACAUGACUCUUCGUAUGGGACCUUUCGGGCCUCGCACACAGGAGCGGUAACAUAUCGGAUUAGCUAGCUGGUAGUAAUCAGCAUGAUGAUCCGUAGCUGGUUUGAGGACGACCAGCCACACUGGGAUUGAGAUACGGCCCAGACUCCUACGGAGUGGGCAGUGGGACUUGGACAGCUGGGGAAACCCUGAUCCAGCCAUCCCGCGUGACAGCGGCUCGCUUAAAGCACUUUUGGUGAGGAAAAGAAACGGCACGGAGCAGCGUCACCUCGUGCAAUCGACGGUACUUUGGUGAGAAUAAGCACCGGCUAACCGCGCUUGCAGCAGCCGCGGUAAUACAUAGCGCAAGCGUUAAUCGAUACUACAAGGCAGCAAGUGGUCUGGUAGUGAUAAAUCCCAGAGCUUAACUUUGGAACUGCCUUUAACUACUUCGAGUAGAGUGUGUCGAGAGGGGGAAUGUGUAGCAGUGAAAUGCGUAGAUAUGAGGAACACCUACGGCGAAGGUAUUCUCCGAUAACAUCGACGGUUCGCACGAAAGCGUGGGGAGCAAACAGAUGAUGACUGUAGUUCACGCCCAAACAUGUCAAUCAGCUGUUGGGCCUUCGCCUGGUAGCGCAGCUUAACGCGAAGGACCGCUCGGGAGUGCGGCUCUAAGAUUAAAACUCAAAGGAAUUGACGGGGACCCGCACAAGCGGUGGAUGAUGACGAUCGAUGUGGUACGCGAAACUCACCUACCUUUGAGCACGUCUGGAAUCCCGAAGAGAUUUGGGAGCGCCGCGCAAGAGAACCGGAACACAGGUGCUGGCGGCCACGUCAGGCUCGUGUCGAGAUGUUGGGUUAAGCCUGCAACGAGAGCGCAACCCUUUGUCAUUAUUAGCACAAAGGGCACUCACGAGAUCGCCGGGUGACAAACCGGGAGGAAAGGUGGGAUGACGCCAAGUCUCGCGUCUUAUGGGUAGGGCUUCGCCAUCGUCAUACAAUGGUCGGGACGAGGUCGCCAACCCGCGAGGGGGAGCCAACUGCAGAAACCGCCGAUCGUAGUCCGGAUCGGCUCGUAACUGACUGCGUAGUUGGAAUCGCUAGUAAUUUGGAUCAGCAUAAUGCGGGUGAAUACGUUCCCGGGUCUUGUACACACCGCCCGUCACACCACAUGGGAGUGGUUUACUGGGUAAGUAGUGGCUGAACUGGGCGAGGCGGCGAUUACCACGCAGUAGGAUUCAACACUUAAAGUGUCGCACGCAG